UACGGGGGGAGCAAGCGUUGUUCGGAUUUACUGGGCGUAAAGGGCGCGUAGGCGGCGCAACAAGUCACUUGUGAAAUCUCCGGGCUUAACCCGGAGCGGUCAAGUGAUACUGUCGUGCUAGAGUGCGGAAGGGGCUACUGGAAUUCUCGGUGUAGCGGUGAAAUGCGUAGAUAUCGGAGAGGAACAGCCUGCGGCGAAGGCGGGUAGCUGGGCCGACACUGACGC
rnacentral:rRNA from 1 species